rnacentral:rRNA from 1 species
CCUACGGGUGGCAGCAGUGAGGAAUAUUGGUCAAUGGGCGGGAGCCUGAACCAGCCAAGUCGCGUGAGGGAAGACGGUCCUACGGAUUGUAAACCUCUUUUGCCGGGGAGCAACGGGGUCCUUGCGAGGGCCCGAUGAGAGUACCCGGCGAAAAAGCAUCGGCUAACUCCGUGCCAGCAGCCGCGGUAAUACGGAGGAUGCGAGCUUUAUCCGGAUUUAUUGGGUUUAAAGGGUGCGCAGGCGGCGAGUUAAGUCAGCGGUAAAAUUUCGGGGCUCAACCCCGACGAGCCGUUGAAACUGGCUUGCUAGAGUGGGCGAGAAGUAUGCGGAAUGCGUGGUGUAGCGGUGAAAUGCAUAGAUAUCACGCAGAACUCCGAUUGCGAAGGCAGCAUACCGGCGCCCAACUGACGCUCAGGCACGAAAGCGUGGGUAUCGAACAGGAUUAGAUACCCUAGUAGUC